rfam:Magnaporthe poae ATCC 64411 unplaced genomic scaffold supercont1.18, whole genome shotgun sequence.
CCUGCUUACUUAACGCAAAAAAAAGUGGGGAGGCAAUGGGCAAGCUGGACGGACAGAGAAUGAAGGUCAGGGAUUGCCCCAGUAACGGCGAGUGAAGCGGCAACAGCUCAAAUUUGAAAUCUGGCCCCCGGGCCCGAGUUGUAAUUUGCAGAGGAUGCUUUUGGUGACGCGCCUACCGAGUCCCCUGGAACGGGGCGCCACAGAGGGUGAGAGCCCCGUAUGGUUGACGCCGAGCCUCUGUAAAGCUCCUUUCGACGAGUCGAGUAGUUUGGGAAUGCUGCUCUAAAUGGGAGGUAAAUUUCUUCUAAAGCUAAAUACCGGCCAGAGACCGAUAGCGCACAAGUAGAGUGAUCGAAAGAUGAAAAGCACUUUGAAAAGAGGGUUAAAUAGCACGUGAAAUUGUUGAAAGGGAAGCGCUCGUGACCAGACUUGCGCCGGGCGGAUCAUCCAGCGUUCUCGCUGGUGCACUCCGCCCGGCUCAGGCCAGCAUCGGUUUUCGCCGGGGGACAAAAGCACCGGGAAUGUGGCUCCCCUCGGGGAGUGUUAUAGCCCGGCGCGCAAUACCCCGGCGGGGACCGAGGACCGCGCUUCGGCAAGGAUGCUGGCGUAAUGGUCAUCAGCGACCCGUCUUGAAACACGGACCGAGGAGUCAAGCAUUAGUGCGAGUGUUUGGGUGUAAAACCCGCACGCGUAAUGAAAGUGAACGUAGGUGAGAGCUUCGGCGCAUCAUCGACCGAUCCUGAUGUUUUCGGAUGGAUUUGAGUAGGAGCAUUAACGCUUGGACCCGAAAGAUGGUGAACUAUACUUGAAUAGGGUGAAGCCAGAGGAAACUCUGGUGGAGGCUCGCAGCGGUUCUGACGUGCAAAUCGAUCGUCAAAUUUGAGUAUAGGGGCGAAAGACUAAUCGAACCAUCUAGUAGCUGGUUACCGCCGAAGUUUCCCUCAGGAUAGCAGUGUCGUCUUCAGUUUUAUGAGGUAAAGCGAAUGAUUAGGGACUCGGGGGCGAUUUUUAGCCUUCAUCCAUUCUCAAACUUUAAAUAUGUAAGAAGCCCUUGUUACUUUGUUGAACGUGGGCCUUCGAAUGUACCGACACUAGUGGGCCAUUUUUGGUAAGCAGAACUGGCGAUGCGGGAUGAACCGAACGCGGGGUUAAGGUGCCGGAGUGGACGCUCAUCAGACACCACAAAAGGCGUUAGUACAUCUUGACAGCAGGACGGUGGCCAUGGAAGUCGGAAUCCGCUAAGGACUGUGUAACAACUCACCUGCCGAAUGUACUAGCCCUGAAAAUGGAUGGCGCUCAAGCGUCCCACCCAUACCCCGCCCCCAGGGUAGAAACGAGGCCCUGGGGAGUAGGCGGCCGUGGGGGUAGCGACGAAGGCUAGGGCGUGAGCCCGGCUAGAGCUGCCCCUAGUGCAGAUCUCGGUGAGAGUAGCAAAUACUUCAAUGAGAACUUGAAGGACCGAAGUGGGGAAAGGUUCCAUGUGAACAGCAGUUGGACGUGGGUUAGCCGAUCCUAAGCCAUAGGGAAGUUCCGUUUCAAAGGGGCGCUAGCGCCCCGUAUGGCGAAAGGGAAGCAGGUUAAUAUUCCUGCGCCUGGAUGUGGGUUUUUCGCGGCAACGCAACUGAACGCGGAGACGACGGCGGGGGCCCCGGGCAGAGUUAUCUUUUCUUCUUAACGGCCCGUCACCCUGGAAACGGUUUGUCCGGAGAUAGGGUUUAAUGGCCGGAAGAGCCCAGCACUUCUGUUGGGUCCGGUGCGCCCCCGACGCCCCUUGAAAAUCCGCGGGAGGGAAUAAUUCUCACGCCAGGUCGUACUCAUAACCGCAGCAGGUCUCCAAGGUGAACAGCCUCUGGUU